rnacentral:pre_miRNA from 1 species
AGUUGUACCAGGUGUUCCAUUUUCUAAUAAAUGAUACAUCUAGUGCAACAGU